rnacentral:rRNA from 1 species
GACGAACGCUGGCGGCGUGCCUAAUACAUGCAAGUUGAGCGCUGAAGGUUGGUACUUGUACCAACUGGAUGAGCAGCGAACGGGUGAGUAACGCGUGGGGAAUCUGCCUUUGAGCGGGGGACAACAUUUGGAAACGAAUGCUAAUACCGCAUAAAAACUUUAAACACAAGUUUUAAGUUUGAAAGAUGCAAUUGCAUCACUCAAAGAUGAUCCCGCGUUGUAUUAACUAGUUGGUGAGGUAAAGGCUCACCAAGGCGAUGAUACAUAGCCGACCUGAGAGGGUGAUCGGCCACAUUGGGACUGAGACACGGCCCAAACUCCUACGGGAGGCAGCAGUAGGGAAUCUUCGGCAAUGGACGAAAGUCUGACCGAGCAACGCCGCGUGAGUGAAGAAGGUUUUCGGAUCGUAAAACUCUGUUGGUAGAGAAGAACGUUGGUGAGAGUGGAAAGCUCAUCAAGUGACGGUAACUACCCAGAAAGGGACGGCUAACUACGUG